rnacentral:rRNA from 1 species
UACGAAGGGGGCUAGCGUUGCUCGGAAUCACUGGGCGUAAAGCGCACGUAGGCGGCUUUUUAAGUCAGGGGUGAAAUCCUGGAGCUCAACUCCAGAACUGCCUUUGAUACUGGGAGCUCGAGUCCGGGAGAGGUGAGUGGAACUCCGAGUGUAGAGGUGAAAUUCGUAGAUAUUCGCAAGAACACCAGUGGCGAAGGCGGCUCACUGGCCCGGUACUAGACGCUGAGGUGCGAAAGCGUGGGGAGCAAACAGG